UUUGGUGGUAAAUGUCUUCCUCCUGUAUUUGAACAUUUGGGUCCCAGCUGUGAUGGUGUUUGGAAGGAUCUGGAAUAUUUGGGAAAUGAGACUACUGAGAAGAAGCAAGUCAUGAGGGUCAGUCCUUGGAAUUUUCAGCUUGGCAUUGCUUCCUGUCCCUCUCUGUCUCCUGAUCCAUGUAGGUGUAAGCAAACAUUCUCUCUCACAGUCUCAUUGUCACAAUGGUGAGCUUCUCCUGACAACAUGCCUUCCCUACCUCAGUGGACUAUGUGCCCUCAAACUGUGGGACAAAACAAAUGCUUGCAGGGACUAAAGAGAUGGCUCAGUGGAGAAGGGAACUUUCUGUGUGAAUAUGAAGAAUUGAACUCAAAUCCAAGCACCAGUGUGGAAUGCCAGGCAUGUCUGAGCCAGUAUCUCCAGCACUGUGGACAACAGAGACAGGAGGACCACUGAGCUUGCUGGACACCAGCUUCAUUUAGGUUUAGUGAGAGACUCUGACUCAAAGGAAUGAGGUGGAAAGUGACACAGCAGGACACAUAAUGACCUCUUCUGGCUUCUAUGUGCACAUACAUACACUCUCACACUCAAAUAAACAAAGAAAUAAGUAAAAACAUACUCUGUUCCUUAAAUUGUUUCUUGUCAGAUAUUUGGUCACUACAAUGAGAGAGUAACUACUCCUGUAUCCAAAGCCAGUAAACACCAUGCUGGCAAGUACACAUUAAAAGAGAGAGAAAGAAAGAAAAUCAUGCUAUAAAUUAAUUCUGUUUUUUUAGAGGUUCAGUUCAGUAUGACAGGAAAAAUAGAUGACAAAUGGGUCUUGAGCGUGUGAGAGUAAAUGAGUUUAUGAAAGUACUCUCUCAUGCUUUCUGUCAUCAGUGAGUGUGUCAGAGUUUAAAAACAUCCAGAGUUUGCCUUGUCUACAAUGCUCUCCUCAGAUUGUGCUCUCCUCACAGACUGUCCUCUCCUCACAGACUGUCAUCUCUUCAGACUGUGCUCUCCUCACAGACUGUCCUCUCCUCACAGACUGUCCUCUCCCCACAGACUGUCCUCUCCUCACAGACUGUCCUCUCCUCACAGACUGUCCUCUCCUCACAGACUGUCAUCUCUUCAUGGACAGUGCUCUUCCCACAGACUGUCCUCUCCCCAUAUAAUGUCCUCUCCCCAUAGACUGUCCCCCUACUCACAGAAUAUCCUCUCCUCACAGACUGUCCUCUCCUCAUGGACAGUGCUCUCCUCAUAGACUCUCCUCUCCUCACAGACUCUCCUCUUCUCAGAUUGUCCUGUCCCCAUAGACUGUCUCCUACUCAAACUGUCCUCUCCUCACAGACUGUGCUCUCCCUACAGACUAUUCUCUCCUCACAAACUGUCUUUUCCUCACUGACUGUCCUGUCCUCAUGGACAGUGCUCUCUGUAUUCUGAACUAUCAGGACUCUCUCUGCAUUCACUUAGUGCAUUCACAUCAGGGGAAACAAGGAAUUAAAUAGAAUCAUCUCCACCUUGUGACAGCCAGAAUUUAUUGCAUGGGGGCUGGAAAGAGUGGUCUGGGGGAGAUGACGCACGCAGUCAGUAAAGUGCUGUUUGCACAAGUGUGAAGCCUGAGUUUGGAUCCUUAGAACUCAUGUGAAGAGCUGUGUGCUGUCACAUGGCUGAUGUGAUGCUGCAUGUCUGUAACCUUAGCAGGUGGUAACAGGGGGUUGGGGAGACAAACAUAUUCUUGGGGUUCACUGCUCAGCCAAUCCAUGAACUAACUUCCUUCCUUCCUUUCUUUCUUUCUUUCUUUC
rnacentral:lncRNA from 1 species